UUAGCCCUAAACACAAAUAAUUAUAAAAACAAAAUUAUUCGCCAGAGUACUACCGGCAACAGCCUAAAACUCAAAGGACUUGGCGGUGCUUUACACCCUUCUAGAGGAGCCUGUUCUAUAAUCGAUAAACCCCGAUAGACCUCACCAAUUCUUGCUAAUACAGUCUAUAUACCGCCAUCUUCAGCAAACCCUAAAAAGGAACAAAAGUAAGCAUAAUCACAACACAUAAAAACGUUAGGUCAAGGUGUAACCUAUGAAAUGGGAAGAAAUGGGCUACAUUUUCUACCACAAGAAAAUUACACGAAAGUUAUUAUGAAACUAAUAACCAAAGGAGGAUUUAGUAGUAAACUAAGAAUAGAGUGCUUAGUUGAAUUAGGCCAUGAAGCACGC
rnacentral:rRNA from 1 species